rnacentral:rRNA from 1 species
GACGAACGCUGGCGGCGUGCUUAACACAUGCAAGUCGAACGGAAAGGCCCUGCUUUUGUGGGGUGCUCGAGUGGCGAACGGGUGAGUAACACGUGAGUAACCUGCCCUUGACUUUGGGAUAACUUCAGGAAACUGGGGCUAAUACCGGAUAGGAGCUCCUGCUGCAUGGUGGGGGUUGGAAAGUUUCGGCGGUUGGGGAUGGACUGGCGGCUUAUCAGCUUGUUGGUGGGGUAGUGGCUUACCAAGGCUUUGACGGGUAGCCGGCCUGAGAGGGUGACCGGCCACAUUGGGACUGAGAUAGGGCCCAGACUCCUACGGGAGGCAGCAGUGGGGAAUAUUGCACAAUGGGCGGAAGCCUGAUGCAGAAACGCCGCGUGCGGGAUGACGGCCUUCGGGUUGUAAACCGCUUUCGCCUGUGACGAAGCGUGAGUGACGGUAAUGGGUAAAGAAGCACCGGCUAACUACGUG